rnacentral:rRNA from 1 species
GCUUAACACAUGCAAGUCGAGGGGUAACAGGGAGUGCUUGCACUCCGCUGACGACCGGCGCACGGGUGCGUAACGCGUAUGCAACCUACCUUCUACAGGGGGAUAGCCCAGAGAAAUUUGGAAUAAUACCCCAUACGAUCAUUAAUCGGCAUCGAUUGAUGAAGAAAACUCCGGUGGUAGAAGAUGGGCAUGCGUCCUAUUAGUUAGUUGGUGAGGUAACGGCUCACCAAGACGUCGAUAGGUAGGGGUCCUGAGAGGGAGAUCCCCCACACUGGUACUGAGACACGGACCAGACUCCUACGGGAGGCAGCAGUGAGGAAUAUUGGACAAUGGAGGCAACUCUGAUCCAGCCAUGCCGCGUGCAGGAAGACGGCCCUAUGGGUUGUAAACUGCUUUUAUACAGGAAGAAUUGUACCUACGUGUAGGUAUUUGACGGUACUGUACGAAUAAGGAUCGGCUAA